rnacentral:lncRNA from 10 species
CAAGGACCAAUAUUAAAAAGGCGAAACCGCUGGGCGUGAUGGCUCAUGCCUGUAAACUCAGCACUUUGGGAGGCUGAGGCAAGAGAAUCACUUGAGCCCAGGAAUUUGAGACCAACCAGAGCAACAUAGCGAAGCCCCUGUCUCUACAAAAAAACCAACCAACCAACCAAAAACAAAAAACAAGAAACACAACAAAACAAACAACCAAAAAAAAAAAAGCAAUGAACAAAAAAACAAAAAAUUAGCUGGACAUGGUUGGUGUGUGCCUGUAGUCCCAGCUACUUGGGAGGUUGAGAUGGGAGAAUCGCAUAAGCCCAGGAAGUUGAGGCUGCAAUGAGCUGUGAUCAUGCCACUGCACUCCAGCCUAGGUGACAGAGUGAGACUCUCUCUCUCUCUCACUCACACACAUGUACACAUACACACAACUUAAAAAGGUGAAACUGUUCAAACAGAAAGCCAGUUACUAAUAUCCAAAUCAGAGUGUAUUUUAUUUCAUGUUUUUUAGGAUUUUGCUUUUUCUGUUUCAUUUCUAGAAACAAUUAUGAGAAAAGUGAAUGAAAUAACAUUAUAGUAACUUUAUAACAAUUAGCUAAAGCAUCCCUGCACAACUGGAGAAAACUGAUGGCAUCUCGCUGUGCUGCCUAGGCAGACCUUGAACUUCUGGACUUAAGCGAUAGAUCCUCCACCUCAGCCUCUUGAGUAUUUGGGACUACAGGCACGUGUCACUGCACCCAGCUUGACCUAUGUUUUAAUAGGAUUUCUCACUGUAAUGUUGAGAAAGAUUGUACCAUUAUUUUUAAUAGUGAGAAAUUAGAAACAUCAUAAAUGGCCACAAAGGAUGGACUGGGUGCACACAUUUGAAUACAUAUAUGUGAUGAAAUGUCACUUGGUUAUACACUUAUGAUAUAAUACUGAGUGAAAAAUAGAAUAUAAAAUUAUAUGUUUAUAAUACAAUUGGAACAAAUUAAAGAUAACAGCAGUAGGAUAAGAACAAGCUAUGGGUAUUCUUCUCACUUGCUUUUCCCUGUGCAUGCUUUUAAUACUUUGUUUUAAAACAAAGUAACCCAUGCUUAUUAUACAAACUUGAACAAUUAUGAAUUAUAAUGUAAAAAUUAAUAAAAUCCUAUCAUUUCCUUCAAUUCCAUACUUCUAGAAUUAACUAAUGUUAAAAUUGAUGUGUGUUCGUCAACAACUAUCUUGUGUCCUUCUAGGAAUAAAUAUAUACAAACAUAAUUCAUGAAUAUGUAUAUAUGUUUGAAUAUGUAUAAAUAUUAAUAUGUUGAAGCAUAUGCAUGUACAUAUAUGCGUAAAUAUAUAUGCAUACACACACAAAUCUUUUUCGAUUUCUUUCUUCCUUUGUUCAUUCAUUCCUUUGUCCCUCCCUUCCUCACUCCCUGCCUUCUUUCCUUCAAGGUUCGUAAUAUACUCAUAAUAGGUUCUUUUGCUUAACAAUAUGUUAUUGACAUUCCAUGAAUUAGUAGUUUGUAAUCUUGGCUGCACACUGGACUCUCCAAGGAGUAUUAAUAGUGCUGAUGGGUCCAAUUGUCAGAAAUUCUGAAUUGAUGGUUUGGCAUGAGGCCUGGGUAUCAAAAUUUAUAAAACUUCUUUAAGUGGUUCUAAUGUGCAGCCACAUUGAGAACCACUGCCUUAGGUUAUACAUAUAGAUCCAACUCAUUAUUAUUAUUAUUCUUAAUAGCUCAUAAUAUUCCAUACUGUGGCUGUACUAAAAUGUGUUUAUCUAGUCCUCUAUUGAGAAACAUUCAGUUUGUUUCCAGUAUGUUAUUCUACUAAAAAGUCUUUAAACAUGUAUCUUUAGUUCUUUAGUUACCAGUUUCUUUAUUUCUACAAAAUACAGUCCUAUAAGUAAAGUUGCUGGGUUCAGAGGUAUGAGUGUUUAAAAUUUUAAUUGGCACUGCUAGAUUAUUUUCCAAAAAGAUCUCAAUAAUACCUACUUCUAGUAGCAGUGUUAAGAGUACUCCUUUCCUUAUAUCUUUGUUAAUCCGA